rnacentral:rRNA from 1 species
UACGAAGGGGGCUAGCGUUGCUCGGAAUUACUGGGCGUAAAGGGCGCGUAGGCGGACAGUUUAGUCAGAGGUGAAAGCCCAGGGCUCAACCUUGGAAUUGCCUUUGAUACUGGCUGUCUUGAGUUCGGGAGAGGUGAGUGGAAUGCCGAGUGUAGAGGUGAAAUUCGUAGAUAUUCGGAAGAACACCAGUGGCGAAGGCGACUCACUGGACACGUAUUGACGCUGAGGUGCGAAAGCGUGGGGAGCAAACAGG